GACGGACGCUGGCGGCGUGCUUAACACAUGCAAGUCGAACGGAAAGGCCCUUCGGGGUACUCGAGUGGCGAACGGGUGAGUAACACGUGGGUGAUCUGCCCUGCACUUUGGGAUAAGCCUGGGAAACUGGGUCUAAUACCGAAUAGGACCACGGCCUUCAUGGGUUGUGGUGGAAAGCUUUUGCGGUGUGGGAUGGGCCCGCGGCCUAUCAGCUUGUUGGUGGGGUAAUGGCCUACCAAGGCGACGACGGGUAGCCGGCCUGAGAGGGUGACCGGCCACACUGGGACUGAGAUACGGCCCAGACUCCUACGGGAGGCAGCAGUGGGGAAUAUUGCACAAUGGGCGCAAGCCUGAUGCAGCGACGCCGCGUGAGGGAUGACGGCCUUCGGGUUGUAAACCUCUUUCAAUAGGGACGAAGCGCAAGUGACGGUACCUAUAGAAGAAGCACCGGCUAACUACGUGCCAGCCGCCGCCGUAACAC
rnacentral:rRNA from 1 species